CCUUCAGGGUGCUGGAAGGAGGCCGUCUCAGGUACGCUUCCUGGGCACUAUGAUGUCACAGACACACAGCAUUUCCAGCCCUCUAAAGGAAAGAGGAUGAGGCUCCACCUUGCCAGGAAGAGGAAUCUGUCAGGCAGGCUGAGAACAAGCACCCUACAAGGGGACCCAUGA
rnacentral:lncRNA from 1 species